rfam:Spiroplasma clarkii strain CN-5, complete genome.
AUAUAAGUGCUAUUCGUACCGAAGAAAGCAACUGGGGAAAAACCCUUAAUUUGUUGCCGAGGAAUGAAAUCUCUAAAUUAUCAAAUUUUUUAAUUUGAAUUAGUGUAUUUUAAUUUACCUCGGAAAAAUUAUAUUUCUGAGGUUUUAUUUUGAUUAG